UCCUUCUCCGCGAGCUAGACCCCAAUUAAGCAAUUGCAUCUCCCAUUCUGGUUCUUCUCCCCCGAUCAGCAACAUUAUUUUCCUUUCCCAAUUAUGGUUUUUCUCUCCCCGAUCUAGGUUUUUUACACAAAAGAGUCUCAUCGAUCAACCUCUCCCCGAUCUAGGUCAAGAAGACACUGUUGGUGGAGUUCUUCGAUCCGAUUUUACAAAGUAUACUGUUGUUGCACGUAUAUAUAUGAUUGUUAAUUAGGUUAUGUGGGAUUUCUGGUCAAGGAGAGGAGUGAAGGAGAAAUGGGUUCUGCACUCAGAUGAGUUUUUAGCCUCUCCAAAGUCGAAAACGUUAAAGAUCUUGCAAGAUUAGGUUGUGGUCAAUUGUUAUAAAGAUGGGUAAGAGAUGAUCAGUCUUCAGUAAUAGUCAAAUUGUAUUACCUGCAAUUCGGAAGUGCAAGACUUGGUGUUUGGAUAUAGGGGCAGGAGUUCUUGCUUCAUGCGAGUGACUGAAAUAGAGUUGGGUCUUAUUCGAGUCCAGGGAUUUGCUGCUGGGUUUAUGGAUUUGGUUAUGGUUUGUUCUUCAAAUCGAUUUGAUUGUUAUUUGGGUUCACGAAUUGGGGAUGGUUUGUUCUUGAAGUCGAUUUAGGUGUUAUUUGGCUUUAGAUUUACUGUUGGGUUUAUUAUUUAUAUAAACCUUAGUUUAUUCUGUUAGCUAAUAAUUUUCCAACUUCAGUUCAUCAUCCGAAGUAACUUGCAGAUUAGAUUUUCAUGAGUCAUUCAUUUAUUGCUUGUCAUUGGAAUCAUAAUCUGAUUAUUUGAGAUUGAAUAUAUGGACUUUUAAGUUUUUUGUUCUUUUGACAUGCAUAAGCUUCUCAUAGCACUGCUGAUAGAGGCAUUAAAGCAUGGAAUGUCGAUGCAAAGAGAGUUGUCUGUGACCUUCAGACAAGUGCAGAAUUUCCAAGUGUGUUGGAUAUAAAAUGCAGCCUUGUAGAGCCAAUUUUUGUUUCUGCUGCAGCAUCCAAGGGAUUUUUGAAUGGAGCUUGGAAAACCAAGUGUUGUUCCUUUAUUCCUAACGAGUGUUCUUUGCGGAGCUGAACAAUUUUCUUAACGAGUGAGCUAGCAGAGGAUGGCUAUUCUGGCGAAGAAGUUAGGGUUACGCCGGUGCCGACCUAAAUCAUGAUUAGGGCCACUCGGACUCAGAACUGUUGGACCCUUUGUAAAUUGUUGAGCUUUUAAGUUUGAAAGGUGAGAAGGGAAGAAGAUUGAGGGAACUGACAGUUGUUGUUUAGAGGCAUUUGAAGUUUCUAGAGAAGAGUGUUAAGCUUUAUGCAGAGAAAGUUAACAACCGAGGGCUUUGUGCAAUUGCUCAGGCAGAGUCUUUGCGCUAGUUAUAUGAUCGAGAUAAGAUGGUGUUUUUUGGUUCUCUCAAUCAUAAUGUCAAUGUUAGGUUUAGAAUUUUGGAACUGAUGGAUUGUAUUUUGGAUGAUAUUGAUGCAAUGAAAUAUUUCGCUUCAUUUUGA